rnacentral:rRNA from 1 species
AUGGCUCAGAUUGAACGCUGGCGGCAGGCCUAACACAUGCAAGUCGAGCGGUAACACAGAGGAGCUUGCUCCUUGGGUGACGAGCGGCGGACGGGUGAGUAAUGCCUGGGGAUCUGCCCGAUAGAGGGGGAUAACUACGGGAAACUGUAGCUAAUACCGCAUAAUGUCUACGGACCAAAGUGGGGGCUCUUCGGACCUCAUGCUAUCGGAUGAACCCAGGUGGGAUUAGCUAGUUGGUGAGGUAAUGGCUCACCAAGGCGACGAUCUCUAACUGGUUUGAGAGAAUGACCAGUCACACUGGAACUGAGACACGGUCCAGACUCCUACGGGAGGCAGCAGUGGGGAAUAUUGCACAAUGGGCGCAAGCCUGAUGCAGCCAUGCCGCGUGUGUGAAGAAGGCCUUCGGGUUGUAAAGCACUUUCAGCGGGGAGGAAGGGUCACUAGUUAAUACCUAGUGGCAUUGACGUUACUCGCAGAAGAAGCACCGGCUAACUCCGUGCCAGCAGCCGCGGUAAUACGGAGGGUGCAAGCGUUAAUCGGAAUUACUGGGCGUAAAGCGCACGCAGGCGGUUUGUUAAGUCAGAUGUGAAAUCCCCGAGCUCAACUUGGGAACUGCAUUUGAAACUGGCAAGCUAGAGUCUUGUAGAGGGGGGUAGAAUUCCA